rnacentral:rRNA from 1 species
UACGGGGGGGGCAAGCGUUGUUCGGAAUUACUGGGCGUAAAGGGCUCGUAGGCGGCCAACUAAGUCAGACGUGAAAUCCCUCGGCUUAACCGGGGAACUGCGUCUGAUACUGGAUGGCUUGAGUUUGGGAGAGGGAUGUGGAAUUCCAGGUGUAGCGGUGAAAUGCGUAGAUAUCUGGAGGAACACCGGUGGCGAAGGCGGCAUCCUGGACCAACACUGACGCUGAGGAGCGAAAGCCAGGGGAGCAAACGGG